rnacentral:rRNA from 1 species
GAUGAACGCUGGCGGCGUGCCUAAUACAUGCAAGUCGAGCGAACAGACGAGGAGCUUGCUCCUCUGACGUUAGCGGCGGACGGGUGAGAAACACGUGUAUAACCUACCUAUAAGACUGGGAUAACUACGGGAAACGGGCGCUAAUACCGGAUAAUAUCUUGAACCGCAGGGGGGAAUAGAGAAAUUCGGCUGUGGUGGAUGGACUAGCUGGAUCUGCGCUGCAUUGGCUAGUUGGUAGGGUAAAGGCUUACGAAGGCAACGAUGCGUUUCCGAACGGAGAGGGUGGUAGCCCGCACUGGAGCUGAGCCGCGGUCCAGACUCCUGCGGUACGCAGCAGUAUGGAAUCUUCCGCAGUGGUCGGGAGCAUGACGCAGUGACGCCGAGUGAGUGAUGACAGCCUCCCGUUCGUGAAGCCCUGUUAUUAGUGGAGAACAGCUGUGUACUUUACCGUGGCCGUAUUGACGGUACCUGGUAAGAAAGCCCCGGCUAGCUACGUG